rnacentral:rRNA from 1 species
UACGUAGGGACCAAGCGUUGUUCGGAUUUACUGGGCGUAAAGGGCGCGUAGGCGGCAAUUCAAGGCAUCUGUGAAAUCUCCGGGCUUAACCCGGAACGGUCAGAUGAUACUGCUUUGCUAGAGUGCGGAAGGGGCAAUCGGAAUUCUCGGUGUAGCGGUGAAAUGCGUAGAUAUCGAGAGGAACACCUGAGGUGAAGACGGGUUGCUGGGCCGACACUGACGCUGACAGCGCGAAAGCCAGGGGAGCAAACGGG